GACGAACGCUGGCGGCGUGCCUAAUACAUGCAAGUCGAACGCAGUGGGGACGGGUGAGUAACACGUGGGUAACCUCCCAUCAGAGGGGAUAACACUUGGAAAAAGGUGCUAAAACGAUACUGAUGGAUGGAACCGCGGUGCAUUCGCUAGGUGGUGAGGUACCGGCUCACAAAGGCAACGAUGCAGAGCCGAGCUGGGAGGGGGUCCGCCACCACGGGGACUGAGACACGGCCCAGACUCAUACGGGAGGCAGCAGUAGGGAAUCUUCGGCAAUGGACGAAAGUCUGACCGAGCAACGCCGCGUGAGUGAAGAAGGUUUUCGGAGCGUAAAACUCUGUUGUUAGAGAAGCGGUAUCUAACCAGAAAGCCACGGCUAACUCCGUGCCAGCAGCCGCGGUAAUUC
rnacentral:rRNA from 1 species